GACGAACGCUGGCGGCGUGCUUAACACAUGCAAGUCGAACGGUAAGGCCCUUCGGGGUACACGAGUGGCGAACGGGUGAGUAACACGUGGGUGAUCUGCCCUGCACUUCGGGAUAAGCCUGGGAAACUGGGUCUAAUACCGGAUAGGACUCCGGACUGCAUGGUCUGGGGUGGAAAGCUUUUGCGGUGUGGGAUGGGCCCGCGGCCUAUCAGCUUGUUGGUGGGGUGAUGGCUUACCAAGGCGACGACGGGUAGCCGGCCUGAGAGGGUGACCGGCCAGAAUGGGGAUGAGAUACGGCCGAGACUCGUACGGGAGGCGGCAGUGGGGAAUAUUGCACAAUGGGCGCAAGCCUGAUGCAGCGACGCCGCGUGAGGGAUGACGGCCUUCGGGUUGUAAACCUCUUUCAGCACAGACGAAGCGCAAGUGACGGUAUGUGCGGAAGAAGGACCGGCCAACUACGUGCCAGCAGCCGCCGUAA
rnacentral:rRNA from 1 species